ensembl:lncRNA
AAUUCAAUUCAAUUUUAUUUGUACAGCGCUUUUAAUAAUGGACAUUGUCUCAAAUCAGCUUUACAGAAACAUGUAAGGACAGGAUACAGAUUUUAAGUGUGUGAAUUUAUCCCUACUGAGCGAGCCAGUGGUGACAGUGGUGAGGGAAAAACUCCCUAAGAUGAAAUGAGGAAGAAACCUCGAGAGGAACCAGACUCAGAAGGGAACCCGUCCUCAUCUGGGUAACAACGGAUAGUGUGAAAGUAGAAGAAAGUUCAUUAUUGUUUUUAUAUGACAUCUGUUUGUUGAACUAGUCCACUGUUCACUAACGGAGACCUGAGUGCAAAAUUAUAUGUGAACAACCUCCUGGACACCAAGCAGUCUGGCUUCAAGAGCAAUCACUCCACGGAGACUGCUCUGCUUUCCGUCAUUGAAGCCUUACGACUAGCAAGAGCAACCUCUAUGGAAAAUCUGUCCUCAUCCUACUUGACCUCUCUGCUGCUUUCGACACUGUGAACCAUCAGAUCCUCCUGUCAACUCUCUCCAGCCUGGGCAUCACCAGAACAGCUCUGCGCUGGGUGGAAUCCUAUCUCUCAGACAGAUCCUUCAAGGUAUCAUGGAGGGGAGGUAUUUCUGAAACUCAGCAACUCACAACUGGCGUUCCACAGGGGUCAGUUCUGGGUUCACUGCUCUUUUCUAUCUAAAGUACAUCUCUGGGGCAGGUGAUUGAGUCUCAUGGCUUCUCAUAUCAUUGCUAUGCUGAUGAUACCCAGCUCUAUUUGUCCUUCCAAUCUGACGAUCCAUCCGUCUCUGCACGUAUCUCUGCUUGCCUGUCGGACAUCUCAGUCUGGAUGAGGGAACACCACCUUAAGCUCAACCUGGCAAAAUCGGAGCUUCUCGUCAUCCCAGCCUGUCCCUCACUCAACCACAACCUCACUGUACAUCUCGGCUCAACCACAUUCAAGCCAAUCAGGACGGCCAGGAGCCUUGGAGUGAUUCUCGAUGACAGCUUGACCUUUACAGACCACAUCUCAACAACUGCACGGUCCUGUAGGUUCAUCCUGUACAACAUCAAGAAAAUCAGACCCUACCUCACCGAACAGGCUACACAGAUACUAGUCCAGGCUCUUGCUAUCUUAAAACUGGACUACUGCAACUCAUUACUCUUACUACUACUAGCUCCAUCAAACCCCUCCAGAUAAUUCAGCAUGCAGCAACACGCCUCGUCUUCAACCAGCCCAAGAGAACCCAUGUCACACCCCUCUUCAUCUCCCUCCACUGGCUUCCUGUAGCCGCCUGUAUCAAAUUCAAGGCCUUGAUGCUCACCUACAAGACCUUGUCUGGAACAGCACCCUCCUACCUCAACUCUCUCCUAAAGGUUUACGUUCCCUCACGCAAUCUGUGAUCAAUCCACGACCGACGCUUAGUUCUGUCUACUCAGCGUGGCUCAAGGUCCCUUUCAAGAACAUUCAAACUAACUGUUCCUCAGUGGUGGAAUAAACUUCCAACCUCAGUCCGCACCGCAGAAUCUCUCACCAUCUUCAAAAAAACAGCUAAAGACCCACCUCUUCCGUGAACACCUAACCAACCCAUAAAAUAAAUAAAUAAAUAAAUAAAUAAAUUACUCUGGCACUUACACCUCUACUCUGCGCACUUUGCUUCUUCUGGAACUCAAUUAAUGGAUCCUAUAUGGUAGCACUACUUGUAUUGUUGUCUGCUUGAUAUAUCGCUUUGCUUGUAUUUCCUCAUUUGUAAGUCGCUUUGGAUAAAAGCAUCUGCUAAAUGAAUAAAUGUAAAUGUAAAUGUAACUUAAAACCAAGUAACAUCAAUUUGGACCGAAUGUGUUAUUUCAGUGGAGUCUAGGAAUGAAAGAAUAUGAUUUUGUUCAUAUUUAAAAUAUGUAACUCAUAUUUUAACGCUUGGAUUAUAUUAAUAAAAUAAAUCUAUGUUGA